rnacentral:lncRNA from 1 species
CCUAUCAGUUGUCAUAUUGAACAUGAAGAGAUGUGAGCAUCUUGUAAUUGACAGAUGCAGUGAAAGGAGCAUCUCUUUAUCAAAUCCUCCUUCAGAGUCACAUGCAGGUAACACAUUGUGAUUUCUAUAUAGUACUGUAUCUGAAAGAGCAUAUUCUGCAGGUUAAACAUUGUGAUUUCUAUAUAAUACUGUAUCUGAAAGAGCAGAUUCUGCAGGUUAAACAUUGUGAUUUCUAUAUAGUACUGUAUCUGAAAGAGCAGAUUCUGCAGUUUCCUUGACACUUACCUUUAUCAAAUAACUCU